GCCCCGCCGGCAAAGGUGCCUGCAUCGCAAUACCUGUCUCUUUCUCUCUCUCUCUCUCUCUCUCUAGAACCUGUCCCCAGCUCCCUACCAGGUCUGGGGCGCAAGAGCUCGGUAGCAGCUGCCGGUGACCGUGCGCGUGCGUGAGUCACGCGCUGAUUGGAAUAUUGCGCUGGCUCACCGCGGUUCUGCCCAGGCGCGGUUGCUGACAGAUAGAGCUCCGAAUCAGAGGACCGGGUUCCAGGCCCACCUCCCAGCCUGGAUCCUGAACCCUAUAACCUUGAACUACUCAGGAACUUCCCUGAGCCUCCUUUACCCACCCCAGAAGUCUUGGAUGCCUUGACGGUGGCUUGUUGGUCGACCCUGGGAGCACAGGGCUGAGGAUGACCAAACCUUCUUGACCUUAAAGGUUUGGGGUCUAACAGAAAUCCGAAGGCUGGUUCACACAGGUGCUGUGGAGGGCACGCAAACAGGCACCAUGGAGAUAAUGGAAGAUUUGGAGCAGAGUCUCUCAAUGAACAUGGAGCUCACCGAUUUAGCUGGGGUACCUGCCCUGUGAGCUCCCAGGAACUUCCCAUCUCCUUACAGGAACACGUCCUUCCACCGUUCAGGAGGCAGAAAACACACCUUGCAUGAAGAGUCACUUCCUCUCUCAUGUGAAAAUAAUCAUCGUCAGACUUCCUUGAGUUUCUCUUUUCCCUCCGGCCAUCAGGAAACUGGAAGACAAUAACAGUAUUGUGGCAGGGAUAAGCUUUUCAAGAGGACAAACACUUCAUGACACAUGACAGGGUGACAUCACAAUGAGUCUGUCAUAAGAUGUAAGUGAUGUCAUACAUCGCCUUGUGAUAACAAAAGAAAUGCGGGUCGGCUGAGAAAGGAGCUGAGAGGGUUGUCCUCCAGAAUGAGCUUCAUUAGGAGACAGCCUCGUCACCAUGGCGGCCGGAUGAAGAGGGAGAACAUUAAGAGGGACAGUGUGUGGAGGCAGAAAGCACAGCAAGCCUUAAAGGGAGAGGAGCUACAUCCAUUUAAAACCUGGAGAGGAUACUGGGGGUGGAGGAGCACGCCUUUAAUCCCAGCACUCAG